GCUAGUCCGGUGUGCGGAGGCGGGGUAAGACUGGGUGUCCGAGCAGUAUCCGGAGUUAUUGGGUUUAAAGGGAGAGUAUGUGGACAGUUAAGGCAGGUGUGAAAGUUUGCGGCUCAACCGUAAGAGUGCAGUUGAUACUGGCUGUCUGGAGUACAGUAGAGGUGGGCGGAAUUCGUGGUGUAGCGGUGAAAUGCGUAGAUAUCACGAAGAACUCCGAUUGCGAAGGCAGCUCACUGGACUGCAACUGACACUGAUGCUCGAAAGUGUGGGUAUCAAACAGGAUUAGAUACCCUUGUAGUC
rnacentral:rRNA from 1 species